rnacentral:rRNA from 1 species
CAAACUGAAGAUGGCGACCGGCGCACGGGUGAGUAACACGUAUCCAACCUGCCGAUAACUCUGGAAUAGCCUUUCGAAAGAAAGAUUAAUACCGGAUAGUAUACGAAUAUCGCAUGAUAUUUUUAUUUAAAGAAUUUCGGUUAUCGAUGGGGAUGCGUUCCAUUAGUUUGUUGGCGGGGGUAACGGCCCACCAAGACUACGAUGGAUAGGGGUUCUGAGAGGAAGGUCCCCCCACAUUGGAACUGAGACACGGUCCAAACUCCUACGGGAGGCAGCAUG